CCUACGGGAGGCAGCAGUGGGGAAUAUUGCGCAAUGGGCGAAAGCCUGACGCAGCGACGCCGCGUGAGGGAUGAAGGUCUUCGGAUCGUAAACCUCUGUCAGUAGGGAAGAACGGUCACUGUGCUAAUCAGCAGUGAAUUGACGGUACCUGCAAAGGAAGCACCGGCUAACUCCGUGCCAGCAGCCGCGGUAAUACGGAGGGUGCGAGCGUUAAUCGGAAUUACUGGGCGUAAAGCGCUCGUAGGCGGUAUGUCAAGUCAAGGGUGAAAUCCCCGCGCUCAACGUGGGAACUGCCUUUGAAACUGGCAAACUGGAGUGUGUGAGAGGAUAGUGGAAUUCCAGGUGUAGGGGUGAAAUGCGUAGAUAUCUGGAGGAACAUCAGUGGCGAAGGCGACUAUCUGGCACAUAACUGACGCUGAGGAGCGAAAGCGUGGGUAGCAAACAGGAUUAGAUACCCGAGUAGUC
rnacentral:rRNA from 1 species